GCAGGUCGUCAAACUCCAGUCCCGCCGAACGUUGCUUCGGAGCCCCUGGGAUGCGUCCCGCGGCAAGUGCCUCUUUCCCAGCGGCUGGAACGGAAGCCUGGGCCCUGGGCCUCCUUGGUUCCUGUGCCCAUGCGGACCAUCCACGGAGCGGAAAGUUCCUGGAAGCCCGCUGCCCAGCUCCUCCUGAGACCGCCCGGACCCUUCAGGGAUCUUUGAGUUGGUGAAACUUGUUGGAAAUGGAACAUAUGGACAAGUUUCUAAGAACUGGUUUUCAAAGGAGCAGAAGAUGCCAUUUACUUGAGAAAUCUAAGCUAUUAAAGUCAUCACAGUGGAAAAAGGAGCUUUGGUACCGUCCUGGAGUGCGAGCUCAGUGGGUUCAGUGAGCAGUGCCAGGAGGAGACUGGCUGCCUGACUGAGCAGAGACCUAGUGGCAGUGAUGCUUUUGGAAGGGAGGAAACCAAACUAGCCUUAAGAGAGGACUGAGCCGAGUAGUAAGACGUCCUUCCUGCCCUUUUACUAGUUUUUGCUUACAGAUUCACCUGAAAAAUGCUUUUAAAAGAUAUU